CCAACAGAAAAACAAAUCCACCACGGCAUGAUUAUCAACUUCAUUAUUGACAAAGAAAGGAGAACAUGUCACCAUCAUGAGCCCUUUAUUUAGUUCACGGAAGAACAUCAAGGGAAAGACCCUCAGACGUGUCAUAACAGGAUAAAUGUGGCUACAGGACGCAUCACCCCACCCAUCCCAGAUUGACCAAGGAUCCAGAUGAGUACUGGCAAUUUGGUGGAGGAUUGCUCUUUAUCUACUACAUUGUACUGUCACUUCCGAGGCUCUUAGGAAGACAACACAGAUCAACUGGCAAGGGACUGAGAGGGAACUCUCAAAAUAGUUCAGGACAAGAGAUGGAGGAGGAGAGUGUCUAGAUGCGCAAAUGACUGUCUGCAGUGUAAGCUGUACUGAUAAAUGUACUGUAUAGUUGCUGCUUCUUCUAACUGUCACCAAUUUAUAUCCUGUUCAAAUGUUCAGUAAAGACUGGGUCAAAUACAGGUUCAAAAUAUGUAUUUUAACAAAUAGGUAUUAAAUAGAUACUCUGUAAUCUGACAUAA